rnacentral:rRNA from 1 species
AUUGAACGCUGGCGGCAGGCCUAACACAUGCAAGUCGAGCGGAUGAAGGGAGCUUGCUCCUGGAUUCAGCGGCGGACGGGUGAGUAAUGCCUAGGAAUCUGCCUGGUAGUGGGGGAUAACGUCCGGAAACGGGCGCUAAUACCGCAUACGUCCUGAGGGAGAAAGUGGGGGAUCUUCGGACCUCUCGCUUUCAGAUGAGCCUAGGUCGGAUUAGCUAGUUGGUGGGGUAAAGGCCUACCAAGGCGACGAUCCGUAACUGGUCUGAGAGGAUGAUCAGUCACACUGGAACUGAGACACGGUCCAGACUCCUACGGGAGGCAGCAGUGGGGAAUAUUGGACAAUGGGCGAAAGCCUGAUCCAGCCAUGCCGCGUGUGUGAAGAAGGUCUUCGGAUUGUAAAGCACUUUAAGUUGGGAGGAAGGGCAGUAAGUUAAUACCUUGCUGUUUUGACGUUACCAACAGAAUAAGCACCGGCUAACUUCGUG